UGGCACAGUGGUUAAGCACUCGGCUACUAACCGAAAGGUUGGUGGUUCGAACCCACC
rnacentral:tRNA from 1 species